rnacentral:rRNA from 1 species
ACUGACCGAUAGUGAACCAGUACCGUGAGGGAAAGGCGAAAAGAACCCCGGCGAGGGGAGUGAAAAAGAACCUGAAACCGUGUACGUACAAGCAGUGGGAGCACCCUUUGGGUGUGACUGCGUACCUUUUGUAUAAUGGGUCAGCGACUUAUAUUCUGUAGCAAGGUUAACCGAAUAGGGGAGCCGGAGGGAAACCGAGUCUUAACCGGGCGUUAAGUUGCAGGGUAUAGACCCGAAACCCGGUGAUCUAGCCAUGGGCAGGUUGAAGGUUGGGUAACACUAACUGGAGGACCGAACCGACUAAUGUUGAAAAAUUAGCGGAUGACCUGUGGCUGGGGGUGAAAGGCCAAUCAAACCGGGAGAUAGCUGGUUCUCCCCGAAAGCUAUUUAGGUAGCGCCUCGUGAAUUCAUCUCCGGGGGUAGAGCACUGUUUCGGCUAGGGGGCCAUCCCGGCUUACCAACCCGAUGCAAACUGCGAAUACCGGAGAAUGUUAUCACGGGAGACACACGGCGGGUGCUAACGUCCGUCGUGAAGAGGGAAACAACCCAGACCGCCAGCUAAGGUCCCAAAGUCAUGGUUAAGUGGGAAACGAUGUGGGAAGGCCCAGACAGCCAGGAUGUUGGCUUAGAAGCAGCCAUCAUUUAAAGAAAGCGUAAUAGCUCACUGGUCGAGUCGGCCUGCGCGGAAGAUGUAACGGGGCUAAACCAUG